UCUGCCUCCACAGAGAGGGCCGGGGGUGCGCGGCGGCUUCUGCUGGGCGCUUCGGGCCUGCCCUGCAGCCAUUAAAGCCGCUUAAAGCCUCUGCGAGCGGGUGGUGGGGUCUCUUCGGGUGUUUAGUCGUCCCCACAAGUGCAGCUUGGGACGGCGUUUCGCGGUGUCCGCAGGCGGAGCCCGUUGACAGCUCUCGGUAUAUAAAUGGUCGAAGAUGUUGAAGCCUGAGCCUGAUGGAAAACUACCAGACAAGACUCUUAACAAGCAGCAGCAAUGAACUAUGUAAACGUAUGUCUUAACAGCAGCAACUUGAAGCCUCCUCAGGCAAAUUACCUCUUUAUUCUGCUUUUCAAGAUUUUUAAGGAUUCUGUGAUGAACGCAGAUCUUCCUUCCUAUAAUAUCAGCUCAGUGCUUCUUGUCUUACUCCCCUUACGUGUGGAAUAAAAAGUAUUUUUUCCUUUCUGAAACAAA